rnacentral:rRNA from 1 species
UACGGAGGGUGCAAGCGUUAUCCGGAUUCACUGGGUUUAAAGGGUGCGUAGGUGGGUUGGUAAGUCAGUGGUGAAAUCCCCGAGCUUAACUUGGGAACUGCCAUUGAUACUAUCAGUCUUGAAUACCGUGGAGGUCAGCGGAAUAUGUCAUGUAGCGGUGAAAUGCAUAGAUAUGACUUAGAACACCAAUUGCGAAGGCAGCUUACUAAGCAGAUAUUGACGCUGAGGCACGAAAGCGUGGGGAUCAAACAGG